rnacentral:rRNA from 1 species
UGCUUGAAACUCAAAGAAUUUGGCGGUGUUUUAAUCUAUUCAGAGGAAUCUGCCCCAUAAUCGAUAAUUCACGAAUAAUAUUACUUAAUUUUGUGGUAGCUUGUAUACCGCCGUCAUUAGAAUAUCUUUGUAGAGGUGRUUAAUUUUCUGGAAAUUUAAGUGAAUUAAAUGUCAGGUCAAGGUGCAGUUUAUAGUUAAGGGGAGGUGGAUUACAAUAUGGUUAUUUACACGGAUAUUAAAUAUAAUAUUUAGUUGAAGGUGGAUUUGAUAGUAAUAUUAUUUAAUUUAAUAAUUUGAUUAAAGCUCUAAAACAUGUACACAUCGCCCGUCGCUCUCGCUAUAAGGUGAGAUAAGUCGUAACAUAGUAGAUGUACUGGAAAGUGUAUCUAGAAAGUAAU